AUUGAACGCUGGCGGCAGGCCUAACACAUGCAAGUCGAACGAGUGGCGGACGGGUGAGUAAUGUCUGGGAAACUGCCUGAUGGAGGGGGAUAACUACUGGAAACGGUAGCUAAUACCGCAUACCAUCAGAUGUGCCCAGAUGGGAUUAGCUUGUGGGUGGGGUAACGGCUCACCAAGGCGACGCUCCCUGGCUGGUCUGAGAGGAUGACCAGCCAAACUGUGACUGAGACACGGGCCAGAAUCCGACGGGAGGCAGCAGUGGGGAAUAUUGCAAAAUGGGCGAAAGCCUGAGGCAGCCAUGCCGCGUGUAGGAAGAAGGCCGUCGGGUUGUAAAGUACUUUCAGCGAGGAGGCGUUACCCGCAGAAGAAGCACCGGCUAACUCCGUGCCAGCAGCCGCGGUAAUUC
rnacentral:rRNA from 1 species